CGUUAAGUAGACCGCCUGGGGAGUACGGCCGCAAGGUUAAAACUCAAAUGAAUUGACGGGGGCCCGCACAAGCGGUGGAGCAUGUGGUUUAAUUCGAUGCAACGCGAAGAACCUUACCUGGUCUUGACAUCCACGGAAGUUUUCAGAGAUGAGAAUGUGCCUUCGGGAACCGUGAGACAGGUGCUGCAUGGCUGUCGUCAGCUCGUGUUGUGAAAUGUUGGGUUAAGUCCCGCAACGAGCGCAACCCUUAUCCUUUGUUGCCAGCGAUUAGGUCGGGAACUCAAAGGAGACUGCCAGUGAUAAACUGGAGGAAGGUGGGGAUGACGUCAAGUCAUCAUGGCCCUUACGACCAGGGCUACACACGUGCUACAAUGGCGCAUACAAAGAGAAGCGACCUCGCGAGAGCAAGCGGACCUCAUAAAGUGCGUCGUAGUCCGGAUUGGAGUCUGCAACUCGACUCCAUGAAGUCGGAAUCGCUAGUAAUCGUGGAUCAGAAUGCCACGGUGAAUACGUUCCCGGGCCUUGUACACACCGCCCGUCACACCAUGGGAGUGGGUUGCAAAAGAAGUAGGUAGCUUAACCUUCGGGAGGGCGCUUACCACUUUGUGAUUCAUGACUGGGGUGAAGUCGUAACAAGGUAACCGUAGGGGAACCUGCGGUUGGA
rnacentral:rRNA from 1 species